CCUACGGGAGGCAGCAGUGGGGAAUAUUGGACAAUGGGCGAAAGCCUGAUCCAGCCAUGCCGCGUGUGUGAAGAAGGCCUUCGGGUUGUAAAGCACUUUCAGUGGGGAAGAAAGCCUUGGGGCUAAUACCCUCGAGGAAGGACAUCACCCACAGAAGAAGCACCGGCUAACUCCGUGCCAGCAGCCGCGGUAAUACGGAGGGUGCGAGCGUUAAUCGGAAUUACUGGGCGUAAAGCGCGCGCAGGCGGUCUGAUAAGCCGGUUGUGAAAGCCCCGGGCUCAACCUGGGAACGGCAUCCGGAACUGUCAGGCUAGAGUGCAGGAGAGGAAGGUAGAAUUCCCGGUGUAGCGGUGAAAUGCGUAGAGAUCGGGAGGAAUACCAGUGGCGAAGGCGGCCUCCUGGACUGACACUGACGCUGAGGCGCGAAAGCGUGGGUAGCAAACAGGAUUAGAUACCCUGGUAGUC
rnacentral:rRNA from 1 species